rnacentral:tRNA from 1 species
AUUUAUAUAGUAUAUUUAGUACAAAAAAUUUCCAAUUUUUAAGAUUUAUUUUUAAAUAUAAAUA